AGUGAACGCUGGCGGUAGGCCUAACACAUGCAAGUCGAACGGCAGCACAGUAAGAGCUUGCUCUUACGGGUGGCGAGUGGCGGACGGGUGAGGAAUACAUCGGAAUCUACUUUUUCGUGGGGGAUAACGUAGGGAAACUUACGCUAAUACCGCAUACGACCUACGGGUGAAAGCAGGGGAUCUUCGGACCUUGCGCGAUUGAAUGAGCCGAUGUCGGAUUAGCUAGUUGGCGGGGUAAAGGCCCACCAAGGCGACGAUCCGUAGCUGGUCUGAGAGGAUGAUCAGCCACACUGGAACUGAGACACGGUCCAGACUCAGACGGGAGGCAGCAGUGGGGAAUAUUGGACAAUGGGCGCAAGCCUGAUCCAGCCAUACCGCGUGGGUGAAGAAGGCCUGCGGGUUGUAAAGCCCUUUUGUUGGGAAAGAAAAGCAGCAGGUUAAUACCCCGCUGUUCUGACGGAACCCAAAGAAUAAGCACCGGCUAACUUCGU
rnacentral:rRNA from 1 species